rnacentral:lncRNA from 1 species
AUGUAAUGGAGUGUGUGUCUCGUGUUGCAAGUUUAGUUAACAAUAAUUUAUGAAGCUAGCCGCGAUUACAAAAUAAAUUAGGGUAGUCGUUAAAACGCACUGUAGCCUAUACGUUGCGAAAUGAUAAUUGUCGGACAUAUUUUUCAGCCUAUAUCCGGAUACAUUGUGGUUUUUAUUUAUCGGUCGAAGUGCACUAGUGCAGUAAACAAAUUGAACUUCAACCGUCAUAGUUAGUUGCGUUUGAAUUCAACUGACCCAACUCCCAAGUAUUCGGCGAAUGGCUGGGUUCCUUUCUCAGCUGAAUCACGAAGCCAUUUGUACAGACAACAUUUUCUGCGAACAUUUGCUAAUUUGACUGAAUAAUCUGUCUUAAUUCUUUUCUAAUUUUGUUAUUAAUAGGGCAUUGCGUAUUUAUCCGUUGUACAUAGAAAAACUCGUCGGUAGAAGAAAUUUCGUCGAUGCCAGACCACAUUCUUUUUGGCUUGUGCUAGGGAUACUAGAAACACGAUUGAAAUUGAAACAUCGGCAUGGGCCAUGAAGCACCGACCGAUCGAUUAUAGCGCCCCUAGCGGCGUGUGUCGGUGGAAUAGCCAAGUAUGCAUUUUGAGCUCCGACAGGCUGUCGGUGCAAUAGAAUUUAGUCAAUUUACGGGAUGUUUCAGUUGUCCUAGAGGCUAGAUAUAAUUUUUUAUGUUUUUCCGUGUAAUUGGACUCACGAACUGUUUGUUGUCCUUGUUCGGCCAUCCCAUUAUGCGUCCUAAACGUGGUAAUCCAGUGAGUGACGUUGCUGACGUCGUGAAACUAACUUUAAGUUCAUUGAGGCCUGCUCUGUAACGAUGCAUCACCUAAUUAUCCAUCAUCCUUAUACUUUAUCUACAUUCACUGAUGUUGUUCUUCUAGACAAUAAUGUGUAGGUAUAAAGGAAAAGUCGCUUGAAAGGUACGUGUGUAUUGCUCUUUCCAAAAUCCUUUCUGUUUCUAUUCAAGCUUUGUUAUCCCUGGUAAACAAAACUUUUGUGAUAGCUUAAGAAAGGAUAAAAUAUCCAGAGAACAUUGAAGCUCCAAAUGUUAUAUUUUAUUCUUCAAAUGAAUCAGAUAGCUUUUUUGUGUCUUCAGUGUUUUUGUGGUGGGGAGAUAAGCGUUUCUCAUUAGUAAUUAGAGUUUCACGUUGCGGUGAUUAGCUACGAAUGAUAAUUUAUUUAUACCGACCCAGUCUGAAGGACAGUGUUGAAUGCUAAGGUCAGUGACAUUUCAAUGACA